GGGUUGAUUAUUAUUCCUUUUCUUUAAAGGGUUCCUUGGAAAACUAUAAAAAUGAGUGUGAACUCAAAGCUACUGUUAAUUUUAGAGCUGAGGUCC
ensembl:snoRNA SNORD116 Small nucleolar RNA SNORD116